rnacentral:rRNA from 1 species
UACAGGCUUAACACAUGCAAGUCGAGGGGCAGCAUGGUCUUAGCUUGCUAAGGCCGAUGGCGACCGGCGCACGGGUGAGUAACACGUAUCCAACCUGCCGUCUACUCUUGGACAGCCUUCUGAAAGGAAGAUUAAUACAAGAUGGCAUCAUGAGUCCGCAUGUUCACAUGAUUAAAGGUAUUCCGGUAGACGAUGGGGAUGCGUUCCAUUAGAUAGUAGGCGGGGUAACGGCCCACCUAGUCUUCGAUGGAUAGGGGUUCUGAGAGGAAGGUCCCCCACAUUGGAACUGAGACACGGUCCAAACUCCUACGGGAGGCAGCAGUGAGGAAUAUUGGUCAAUGGGCGAGAGCCUGAACCAGCCAAGUAGCGUGAAGGAUGACUGCCCUAUGGGUUGUAAACUUCUUUUAUAAAGGAAUAAAGUCGGGUAUGGAUACCCGUUUGCAUGUACUUUAUGAAUAAGGAUCGGCUAACUCCGUGCCAGCAGCCGCGGUAAUACGGAGGAUCCGAGCGUUAUCCGGAUUUAUUGGGUUUAAAGGGAGCGUAGAUGGAUGUUUAAGUCAGUUGUGAAAGUUUGCGGCUCAACCGUAAAAUUGCAGUUGAUACUGGAUAUCUUGAGUGCAGUUGAGGCAGGCGGAAUUCGUGGUGUAGCGGUGAAAUGCUUAGAUAUCACGAAGAACUCCGAUUGCGAAGGCAGCCUGCUAAGCUGCAACUGACAUUGAGGCUCGAAAGUGUGGGUAUCAAACAGGAUUAGAUACCCUGGUAGUCCACACGGUAAACGAUGAAUACUCGCUGUUUGCGAUAUACUGCAAGCGGCCAAGCGAAAGCGUUAAGUAUUCCACCUGGGGAGUACGCCGGCAACGGUGAAACUCAAAGGAAUUGACGGGGGCCCGCACAAGCGGAGGAACAUGUGGUUUAAUUCGAUGAUACGCGAGGAACCUUACCCGGGCUUAAAUUGCAGAUGAAUUACGGUGAAAGCCGUAAGCCGCAAGGCAUCUGUGAAGGUGCUGCAUGGUUGUCGUCAGCUCGUGCCGUGAGGUGUCGGCUUAAGUGCCAUAACGAGCGCAACCCUUGUUGUCAGUUACUAACAGGUUCCGCUGAGGACUCUGACAAGACUGCCAUCGUAAGAUGUGAGGAAGGCGGGGAUGACGUCAAAUCAGCACGGCCCUUACGUCCGGGGCUACACACGUGUUACAAUGGGGGGUACAGAGGGCCGCUACCACGCGAGUGGAUGCCAAUCCCCAAAACCUCUCUCAGUUCGGACUGGAGUCUGCAACCCGACUCCACGAAGCUGGAUUCGCUAGUAAUCGCGCAUCAGCCACGGCGCGGUGAAUACGUUCCCGGGCCUUGUACACACCGCCCGUCAAGCCAUGGGAGCCGGGGGUACCUGAAGUGCGUAACCGCGAGGAGCGCCCUAGGGUAAAACUGGUGACUGGGGCU